GGUAUUGACUGUUUAGUCAGCUACGUUGUUGACAUUUUAUGGGUGGGUGCAACUUCCCUGUCAUGUGUAGAAGAUGCUGUGUCACAGCAGAUACCCUGGAUCUGUUUAAAACUGUAGAAUUAAGAAACAAAACCCCUUUUUACCGACCUCAGAAUCUAUUAGCUUUGUAGAUGACGAAAGGAGAAUAGCAGCCGGGGAAGUGCUGUGCUGUUAACACUCAAAGGACUUCCAGUUUCAACGGUACCUGUACUCAGCCAUGCUAAAUUGGCAGAGAGAGGAUGAAACCAAACCCAGAAUUUCAUAGCCCCUUGCUGUUCGGGUUAACAUGCAAGAAAUACCCAGGUUUUUCACAAUCCUGACAACAGGACAGCUUGACUUACCAACAUAAAUAAGAUUUCUGUCAGCAUCCAGAGAACAUGGAGUAAGUGUAAAAAAAUAACGACUGUGUCAGCCCGUGCUUUUAACCUAAGCCCAGAAACCAGUAGCUUCAGUAAAUUAAAAAAAAAAAAAGUUGCAAGCUGUCGUGUUAAUUAACACUUGAUAAGGUACAAAUAUUUUAACGCAUCAUCUAAGGGGCAGAUCGCGCCUUUUGACCAGUACUAGUGACUUCUUGUGAAAUAUUUCACUGAAUGUGAGUGUUAGAGUGGAAAACGUGAUGGUGGGUGAGAAGAAGAAAACUAAAACGGAAAAAAAAAUGUGAUUAAAGCAGGACCUGCUGCCCCUUCAGCCAGAAAGGGAUGGGAUUUAAAAGCACAGCUACACAAGGAGGCUUCGUUGCAACACAGUGCUGACAUGAUGCGGUGCCCACCCAAGCAAACCCAUCACCGCUCCCACUAUAGUGAGAACGGAUGCUGAAAGUGCUCUUAGGAUCAAGUGAACCCCUAAAUGCUUAAAACGAACACAUUUAAUUCUAAAAUUACAGCGGUUAUUUGUAUAUAUGUAUUCAGUCUUGACUGAAGCUCUGUUUAACAGAACAAAUUAAUUCUCUGAGGCGGGGGCUACUUUGGAAGCUACUCAAAGAAAACGAUCUUCAAACACUCAUUAUAAGAGUAAAAUCAUUAAGCUUGUGUGCAUUUGAGCAGUGGUUUUGAAAAACCACAAAACUUAAAUCUGUUUUCUGGCAAGAAAGGGAAAGUUAGAGUUGGAUGUGGGGGCCGAGGAAGUGGCUCAGAAGAUCACAUGCUCUACAUGCAUGAGUUCUGGUCCCCAAGCAGCUGCUUAAGGGUGUAAGACAAGAGGAUGCAGCAUCCGGUCAGACAAGACAGCCAAAACAGCAAACUUUUAGUCCGUGGAGAGACCCUGUCUCAAGAUCACAAAUGUGGAGCAUUUAACUCAAGGUACUGAUCAUGCUGUUCUGGCUUGCACCUGUGCAAGCAAGGCAGUGCACAUCUGCUCAUGUAUGCUCAUGCAACACACACACACACACACACACACACACACACACACACACAAUAAACACAUUUGGAGAGUCAUGGUGUGUUGGGUGUUCGUAUUCUUCAACAUCUCUUCUAUUUUACUACCUUGCAAUUAUGCUCACUUAUAUUUGACCUAAUAAAAAUAUUUUUAAUGGACCUCUCCAUGAACUAGCGAGGUCUUUAAUGGCUCAAAGAAAUAAGACAUAGUAUUUUUUCCCCAGCUAGGCUGUUCACAGGCAAAAGAUUUUUAUGAAUAAAAAUUGCCUUCUACUGAUUCCAUUCAUGCUCUUCACCUCCAUAUUGGUCUUUUGGUGGUUUUCAUGCACACACUUGGGAAUCUCUAUGAUAUA